CUUUGCUUUCAGGUAAGGGAUAAGUUAUAUGGGCAUUUGUUAGCAGGUUUUAUUUUGGAGCUGAGGGAGCCUUAGUCGAGUUUUGAAAAGAGCUGGUUUUAGUUUGAUAUGUAUAGAUCCUAAAUUAGCAUUUUGACGUUUAGCUUUAUAGUUAUUGUGUAUUUUAGGAUCAAAUGAAAGUUGUGUAUACCUUAAAGUAUCAAGCUAUGUAUUAUGUAAAAGUGUGGAAAUUAAAUGAUUGGUGGAUUAUGUUAUUCUUUGGAGUACAAUGUAGAUGCUCUGAAUGUCAAGUCAAA